rnacentral:rRNA from 1 species
AACGGCGAGUGAAGCGGCAAUAGCUCAAAUUUGAAAUCUGGCUCCUUCGGGGUCCGAGUUGUAAUUUGUAGAGGAUGCUUCGGCUUCGGCCCCGGUCUAAGUUCCUUGGAACAGGACGUCACAGAGGGUGAGAAUCCCGUAUGUGGUCGGGGCCCCCGCCAUGUGAAGCUCCUUCGACGAGUCGAGUUGUUUGGGAAUGCAGCUCUAAAUGGGAGGUAAAUUUCUUCUAAAGCUAAAUAUUGCCUCAGAGACCGAUAGCGCACAAGUAGAGUGAUCGAAAGAUGAAAAGCACUUUGGAAAGAGAGUUAAAAAGUACGUGAAAUUGUUAAAAGGGAAGCGCUUGCAAUCAGACUUGUCCGCGGUUGCUCAGCCGGUCUCUUGACCGGUGCACUCUUCCGCGGUCAGGCCAGCAUCAGUUCGGGCGGUCGGAUAAAGGCCUUGGGAAUGUGGCUCUCUUCGGGGAGUGUUAUAGCCCUUGGUGUAAUGCGGCCAGCCUGGACUGAGGUCCGCGCUUCGGCUAGGAUGCUGGCGUAAUGGUUGUAAGCGGCCCGUCUUGAAACACGGACCGAGGAGUCUAACAUCUAUGCGAGUGUUUGGGUGUCAAACCCGUACGCGAAAUGAAAGUGAACGGAGGUGGGAACCUUAGGGUGCACCAUCGACCGAUCCUGAUGUCUUCGGAUGGAUUUGAGUAUGAGCAUAGCUGUUGGGACCCGAAAGAUGGUGAACUAUGCCUGAAUAGGGUGAAGCCAGAGGAAACUCUGGUGGAGGCUCGCAGCGGUUCUGACGUGCAAAUCGAUCGUCAAAUUUGGGUAUAGGGGCGAAAGACUAAUCGA